rnacentral:rRNA from 1 species
GAUGAACGCUGGCGGCGUGCCUAAUACAUGCAAGUCGAGCGAACAGACGAGGAGCUUGCUCCCCUGACGUUAGCGGCGGACGGGUGAGUAACACGUGGAUAACCUACCUAUAAGACUGGGAUAACUUCGGGAAACCGGAGCUAAUACCGGAUAAUAUAUUGAACCGCAUGGUUCAAUAGUGAAAGACGGUUUUGCUGUUACUUAUAGAUGGAUCCGCGCCGCAUUAGCUAGUUGGUAAGGUAACGGCUUACCAAGGCAACGAUGCGUAGCCGACCUGAGAGGGUGAUCGGCCACACUGGAACUGAGACACGGUCCAGACUCCUACGGGAGGCAGCAGUAGGGAAUCUUCCGCAAUGGGCGAAAGCCUGACGGAGCAACACCGCGUGAGUGAUGAAGGUCUUCGGAUCGUAAAACUCUGUUAUUAGGGAAGAACAAAAGUGUAAGUAACUAUGCACGUCUUGACGGUACCUAAUCAGAAAGCCACGGCUAACUACGUG